rnacentral:rRNA from 1 species
AACCCACUUGUGGUGACGGUAGGUAGAUAAGAAGCACCGGCUAACUACGUGCCAGCAGCCGCGGUAAUACGUAGGGUGCAAGCGUUGUCCGGAAUUACUGGGCGUAAAGAGCUCGUAGGUGGUUUGUCGCGUCGUCUGUGAAAUCCCGGGGCUUAACUUCGGGCGUGCAGGCGAUACGGGCAUAACUUGAGUGCUGUAGGGGAGACUGGAAUUCCUGGUGUAGCGGUGAAAUGCGCAGAUAUCAGGAGGAACACCGAUGGCGAAGGCAGGUCUCUGGGCAGUU